rnacentral:lncRNA from 1 species
GGUCACCUUGAGCAUUUGGAUCAUAGGGAUGAAGUAUAAGGUAACCAUACGCCAGUAGAUUCUUGAAUGUUUCUUUGCAAUUAUUCGACCUAUCUGAAUAUUAGAUUUCACUACUAGAUGGUUAUAUCGAUUAGUUCAGAAAGUUGUUCCUGUGCUAUCGACUUAGGUUCGAACCUAUGGAGUCACACUCAAAAGAAGUUACUGACUUAUCGCAUGGUUGAUUAACGAU